GGGGCUGAUUCUGGAUUCGACGGGAUUUGCUAAACCCAAGGUGCAUGCCGAGGGGCGGUUGGCCUCGUAAAAAGCCGCAAAAAAUAGUCGCAAACGACGAAAACUACGCUUUAGCAGCUUAAUAACCUGCUUAGAGCCCUCUCUCCCUAGCCUCCGCUCUUAGGACGGGGAUCAAGAGAGGUCAAACCCAAAAGAGAUCGCGUGGAAGCCCUGCCUGGGGUUGAAGCGUUAAAACUUAAUCAGGCUAGUUUGUUAGUGGCGUGUCCGUCCGCAGCUGGCAAGCGAAUGUAAAGACUGACUAAGCAUGUAGUACCGAGGAUGUAGGAAUUUCGGACGCGGGUUCAACUCCCGCCAGCUCCACCA
rnacentral:tmRNA from 2 species